CGGCAGAAUCCUCAACUGCUGCGGCAGCUGUUGACGAAGAAGAAGAAGAAGAAGAAGGAGGCCAGUCCCUCUGAAGCGCCUCCAUGUGGAGAACGUGACAGCGAGAAUGAAGCUCAAUGAAAGAGCAAGCGAAGUGAUGAGUCCUCUGACUCUGGUGGCUUCAAACUGUUGAAAGAAAGUCCAUCCUCUCCCAGUACCAGCAGUGAGGAUGAUGUGAAGUCCCCUGACUCUGGUGUUUCCUGCUGUAGUGAUCGGUCUAAAGAGGCAAUCAUAACUUUCAAACAAAGUCACACCUCUACCAGGUAAG